CUAAAAAAGACAAGUAGCUAUCCAGAAUUUUUACACACAAAACAUAUUAAAAAUCGUGGGCGUGGCUGCGUUUUAGCUGAUUCAGCAAUAAUUGAAGGUCCCCAGUCCUUAAUAUCUUAAUAUACCUGAGAAAGUUCCAAACCUUAGCCGGAAACCGUUGGCCUUUUCUCUCCCUAACCGAUAACAUAACCGAUAACAAUUGGGUACUGUUUUAUUAAUCACCACAAACCCACCACCUUAUGUUGUCAUGGAAACAAUGUUGUAGCUUAUUCAUUCGCCUACACAAUAGUAUCAGCAGAUUUUCUUAGAAUCAUAAGAUAUUUACAUUUAAGUACAACUACUCACACAUUAAAUAUUUUUUGGUAUUCUACUCUUUAGACUGGAUGCACUUUCUAUGUGAUGGUUCUAAUUUCUACUAAGAUUGAUAGACUAGCAGGAGACUCUCUAAAAAUAGUCAUUGCCUCUAUAAUGAUAUUAGUGAUAUAGAAUGACGCGCGGGCAAUCUCGUCGGGUUGUUAGCUUUACAAUGGGUGGGUUGUUAGCUUUAGUGGGCUUUACAAUGGAGCUUUACAAAGGGGUGGGUUGUUUGGUAUGCUAACAACAAUGAUAGUUACAUUUACACAUCUGAAUGUUUUGACAAUGAUAGGUUGUUACCAAAACAAAUUGGUAAUUACAGUGUGUAGGAGAUUUAGUGAAGUUUGUCUCAGAAACAUUGGAAACAAAGACACGAGCAUUGCUAUUUGCAAACGGAAUCAGCAAGUUUUCAGGAUCGUUCCAUCAGCAAUUACAGUACUAUCGCAGCCACUUCAAUUUUGUAGUGAUGGACUCAUCCAAGUGAAGAACUCCUUGGUGACUACUGCAAGCAAUUUCAUGAGAAUGAACUCUUCUCAACAGGAUCCAGUAGCACUUCAGAUUAAUCUCUACUACGACGAGCUUGAACUUUGCAACCCAUUGGGUUCACGGCGGAAAAAGCACAAAAUAGGGGCAUUCUAUU